UACGGAGGGUGCGAGCGUUGUUCGGAAUUACUGGGCGUAAAGGGCGCGUAGGCGGCUUGAUAAGUCAGAUGUGAAAGUCCAUGGCUCAACCGUGGAAGUGCAUUUGAAACUGUCUGGCUUGAGUAUUGGAGGGGAAAGUGGAAUUCCCGGUGUAGAGGUGAAAUUCGUAGAGAUCGGGAGGAACACCUGUGGCGAAGGCGACUUUCUGGACAAAUACUGACGCUGAGGCGCGAAAGCGUGGGGAGCAAACAGGAUUAGAUACCCCCGUA
rnacentral:rRNA from 1 species